rnacentral:rRNA from 1 species
UGGGUAGGGGAGCGUUCUGUAAGCCUGUGAAGGUGGCCUGUGAGGGUUGCUGGAGGUAUCAGAAGUGCGAAUGCUGACAUAAGUAACGAUAAAGCGGGUGAAAAGCCCGCUCGCCGGAAGACCAAGGGUUCCUGUCCAACGUUAAUCGGGGCAGGGUGAGUCGACCCCUAAGGCGAGGCCGAAAGGCGUAGUCGAUGGGAAACGGGUUAAUAUUCCCGUACUUGGUGUUACUGCGAAGGGGGGACGGAGAAGGCUAUGUUGGCCGGGCGACGGUUGUCCCGGUUUAAGCGUGUAGGUGUGUGUUCCAGGUAAAUCCGGUUCACUUUAACACUGAGGCGUGAUGACGAGGCACUACGGUGCUGAAGCAACAAAUGCCCUGCUUCCAGGAAAAGCCUCUAAGCAUCAGGUAACAUCAAAUCGUACCCCAAACCGACACAGGUGGUCAGGUAGAGAAUACCAAGGCGCUUGAGAGAACUCGGGUGAAGGAACUAGGCAAAAUGGUGCCGUAACUUCGGGAGAAGGCACGCUGACACGUAGGUGAAGUGAUUUACUCAUGGAGCUGAAGUCAGUCGAAGAUACCAGCUGGCUGCAACUGUUUAUUAAAAACACAGCACUGUGCAAACACGAAAGUGGACGUAUACGGUGUGACGCCUGCCCGGUGCCGGAAGGUUAAUUGAUGGGGUCAGCGCAAGCGAAGCUCCUGAUCGAAGCCCCGGUAAACGGCGGCCGUAACUAUAACGGUCCUAAGGUAGCGAAAUUCCUUGUCGGGUAAGUUCCGACCUGCACGAAUGGCGUAAUGAUGGCCAGGCUGUCUCCACCCGAGACUCAGUGAAAUUGAACUCGCUGUGAAGAUGCAGUGUACCCGCGGCAAGACGGAAAGACCCCGUGAACCUUUACUAUAGCUUGACACUGAACAUUGAGCCUUGAUGUGUAGGAUAGGUGGGAGGCUUUGAAGCGUGGACGCCAGUCUGCGUGGAGCCGACCUUGAAAUACCACCCUUUAAUGUUUGAUGUUCUAACGUGGACCCGUUACCCGGGUUGCGGACAGUGUCUGGUGGGUAGUUUGACUGGGGCGGUCUCCUCCUAAAGAGUAACGGAGGAGCACGAAGGUUGGCUAAUCCUGGUCGGACAUCAGGAGGUUAGUGCAAUGGCAUAAGCCAGCUUGACUGCGAGCGUGACGGCGCGAGCAGGUGCGAAAGCAGGUCAUAGUGAUCCGGUGGUUCUGAAUGGAAGGGCCAUCGCUCAACGGAUAAAAGGUACUCCGGGGAUAACAGGCUGAUACCGCCCAAGAGUUCAUAUCGACGGCGGUGUUUGGCACCUCGAUGUCGGCUCAUCACAUCCUGGGGCUGAAGUAGGUCCCAAGGGUAUGGCUGUUCGCCAUUUAAAGUGGUACGCGAGCUGGGUUUAGAACGUCGUGAGACAGUUCGGUCCCUAUCUGCCGUGGGCGCUGGAGAACUGAGGGGGGCUGCUCCUAGUACGAGAGGACCGGAGUGGACGCAUCACUGGUGUUCGGGUUGUCAUGCCAAUGGCACUGCCCGGUAGCUAAAUGCGGAAGAGAUAAGUGCUGAAAGCAUCUAAGCACGAAACUUGCCCCGAGAUGAGUUCU